ACGGCGGGUGUCAGCGACGCCGGAGACGUGCGACAGGCCGGGCGGAGAGCGGACGCUAUCGACGGCGCUCGGGGACGGCGGGAGCGGCGCGGUCGGAGUGCAAGGCAGAAGUCAGGAGUAGACGGGCCCCCUGCCACCGGCAGAGCUUCACACCAUGGUUCUGGGACGUCCUUUCCUCGUCGCUGGCCUGGUUCUGACGGUGCUUCUGCAUUCGACAACCGCACAAACUGCACGACAAAGGGUGCACAACUCGCUGAGGAUGUACAAACCUCUUCUGCAUGAUCCGGAGACCGUCUUACUGCUGCUCCGACUUAUACGGCAUCUGAAUAGGAUCAUGCCUAGGGUACGGCCAGUCUCCAGCUCGCACGGCGUCAUUGGCCCCAAUUCCGCGCCGCACCCUGGAGUCGGUGAUGGCACCGGAUCAAGGCCCGGCCCCAGCUCCGGCCCCAGCCCGAGGCCCGGCCCCAGCUCCGGCCCCGGCCCGAGUCCCGGCCCCAGCUCCGGCCCCGGCCCGAGUCCCGGCCUCAG